ensembl:lncRNA
UGCCACCUUAAUGUGGUGGAGGGGUUUGAGUACCCGAGUGACCCUAGGAGCUAUGUUGUCUGGGGCUAUAUGCCCCUGGUAGGGUCUCCCAAGGCAAACAGGUCCUAGGCGACGGGUCAGACUAAGAGCGGUUCAAAAUCCUUUAAUGAUGAGAAUUUGAGGUCUGUGACGUCGCCCGGUAUGGCGCAGCCCGGGCCCCACCCGGGAGCCAGGCCCAGGUUUGGGGCUCGUAUGCGAGCGCCUGGUGGCCGGGCCUUUCCCCGUGGGGCCCGGUCGGGCUCAGCCCGAAGGAGCGACGUGGGGCCGCCUUCCCGUGGGCUCACCACCUGACCACCUUCCUGGGAAGGUGUUCCGGGCCCGUCCCACCGGGAGGAGACCCCGGGGAAGACCUAGGACACGCUGGAGAGACUGUCUCCCGGCUGGCCUGGGAACGCCUCGGUAUCCCCCCCGGAAGUGACCUGGUUUCAUAUAUGCCUAAAAGGACUUGCCUACAUCAAGGACUAUCUGGAGGAAGAACGUUCACAUCAGUCACCCAAUGGAUCAAGUGCUUCAGAUGACGAUGACCUCUUCAAGCAUGAAGACAACUCAUGGGCAGGAAAGUGUUAAACAGCUAGAAGGGUACCUUGACUCCAAAGUAGACAACAGAGUUACUGCAAUCUUAACCUGCGGUUUGCAAAUUCUCUUAAAAUCAACACUUACCAGCUUCUGCUACAUGCGAAUGUCUCUUUAGCACUGCAUUCAUAAAAUAAAAAAUGCAUUCAUUUCAGCCUUAAAGUUCAGAAAUGCCACUCAUUUGCCUACAAUAACAUUUAGUAUUAAGUCUAGUAAAGGGAAACUAAAGCAACUCUGAGGACAAUUCAGACCCGAUCAUGUUCUGAUAUACAUUUGUAUUUUCCAGCAAGUUAUUUGUGUAUUGAAUUGCAUAGGGCUUGGGAAUGUAAUGUUUUAUCAGAAUAAGAGGAUCUGAAAACGAUAUAGUUACAGAAUCAACUGUAGUAACCCAAAUUAGUAAAUUACACUUUGAAUGUUGAGGGAACAGAAUUCAUUGUGAUGUGGUUGUUUUUUGCUAAAAUUGUAGUCUUAGAAAAAACUGUUUAGGCUGCUUCCAAUUACUGGACAGUCUGGAACACAAAUGUUGUAGUUUUGCUCUGUGAAACGCAUUUAAUUAAAAUCCACCUAAUGGUAAAUCUGAUAUAAUUACUGUAACAACGGCAAAGUUUAUAUUGAGGUAAUUUACAGCCUGAAUUUUGUUUUCAGAACAAUUGACUGGAAUUUGUCUUGGAUUUCGGCCCAAACCAAUUACCAGGGUUUCCUCACACUUGUUGACCUCUUCGUUCUCCCUCCCAUUCAGGUUCACUCCAAGUACCGUCGGACAGGGGCCAGCUUCAGCAAGGCCCAACAGGAGUUCUCCUCAGGGUUUCUCACCAACCAGACCUUCCAGAGCGCUGCAGCCACCGCCGCCUCGUAGGGUUGAACUUGAUGCAAGAUAUUAAGAGAUGCUAAGUUUUGGUUCAUAUGAUGAAGACACUGGGUGAUGGUUUAGCUCAAUGGGAAUUAAUGUAUACUCUAAUCUUGUCACUACUGUAUAAGAGAACCUUUCAUUCUUAGCUGAUUGUACCUUGUGAGUUGUGGCCCCCAGACUGUGGAAUAAACUGCCCAUUAUUAUCAGGUCACCCCCCCCCCCCCCCACGAGGCAUCGAAGUCUCGCCUCAAAAUGUGUUUUUAUACUUUGGCGUUGGAGUCGGUGUAGGGACAUUCGAGCUCAACAGUUUUGUGUGCUGCUCGUUUCUAUUCAUUGUUUAUUUUUAUUUUUUUUUGCAUAACUUUGGACAGCACUUUGUUCAGCAUUGGUUGUUUUUAAAUGUGCUUUAUAAAUAAAUUGACUUGACUUAUCCCCCUGUAGAUACUCCGGUUGGUCACUUUUAUUACUCGGCUGGGCUUUAAGUUAUGGGGGAUUGAUCCUGUUUCCCUUUAGAACUAUACAUUAGUUCUGUCAUUGUGGGUAGUGUGGUCAUUAUGAUACACCUAAAUGUUCUUUGCUGACACGGUUUACUGUAAUUUUAACCAAAUACUUGAAGACUAGACAUUAUUUCUGAUGUCACUUCAGCCUCACCGUCUGAAUAUGAAUAAUCUUCAGGAUCUUAGUGUUCUGAGUUUUUGCCUACUGGUUUACGUAUUUUAUUUGAACACAAUUUUUUGAGAAUCUGCAGAUGCCCCCAAGACUACCAGUAACAUUUUAACUAACCCAAACCAUUAUCUUAACUUUGACCCUCCCACUAAACCCGGUACCCAGGC